GCCCGCUUUAGCCAGCUCGAGACAAAAAUGUUUCCCUCUUCCCCGUGGUUCUCCUUGGCCACGCGGUGGCUCUCAUUAUGUACACAAAGGCACACAUAGUUCCUUUUGGCGUCUUAUCUUCUGAAGCUGCCUCAAGGCCAAGCAAAGAAAGUUGUUAAAAAGUUAAGUUACUUUUCACAGCCUGCAAACCCUUCAAAGGCAAGAACUCAAAUAGAAACUUGGAAAGGCAGAUAAGCCAGAAAAGUGUACUAAUAAACGCACUUAAUAUGAUUAUUUUUUGAUGCCAGGUCCACCAAGUGAAGAUUGGAGGAUGUAUUUGUUUCUUCUACUCAACAACAAUUGAUAAAGCAUGAGUUCCAUCAAGGACUGUGUUCUAGGUGGAGAAAGGGUGACUCACCCAGUCAUUGGAUCUCUUUCACUUCCAGUCUCUGGAAGGCAGAUAUCUUUAUAAAAUAUGCAGACAGCUAGGCUCUAAACACUGGACAAGAGGUCUGUAAUCAUCCAGUCACAUCUCAGGUCAGAGGGUCUUGGACUGCUUAAGAAAGAGCUGACCAUUGUCUUAAGAACCUGGGGUGGCCUAGAGCCAUCUUGAGGUGAUUUUAUCAGCCCCAUCAGGAUAAUUCUCCUCAGCUUCCUUGCAUGAAUAGUGUAACUGGUGCUACUACUUUUGUUUUUAGUCACUUUUCCUAGCCUGCACUUCCCUUCCCGGCCCUCCUUUUUCCUCUGUAGCCAAGUCAUCACUUCUCUUUACCUAAAUGAGUUUUGGAAUCCAGGGGAUAAAACGAAAAGAUAGGCAGGGCGCUGUGGCUCACACCUGUAAUCCCACCACUUUGGGAGGCCGAGGUGGGUGGAUCACCUGAGGUCAGGAGUUUGAGACCAGCCUGACCAAUAUGGUGAAACCCCAUCUCUACUAAAAAUACAAAAAUUAGCCGGGCGUGGUGGCGUGUGACUGUAGUCCCAGCUACUUGGGAGGCUGAGACAGGAGGGUUGCUUGAACCUGGGAGACAGAGGUUGCAGAAAGCUGAGAUCGUGCCAUUGCACUCCAGCCUGGGUGACAGAGCAAGACUCUGUCUCAAAAACAAAAACAAAAAAACGGAAAGAUAAUUCCUUGAGCACAAGCUUCACUCUCCUUAUUCUCAACAUCUGUGUCUGUAUUAUUCUUUACAGUUUAUGAAACACUUAUUUAAUCUCACUUAAUGCCCAAACUAGUGAUGUUAGUUAUUUUUUUUAAAAAGUCAAGAUCACUUAACACAUCCAAAUAUAACAAAGUUAAAAGGCAUAAAACUGGGUACCCAACAUAAAUUAUCUGAUUAUAAAUCAAGUGGUCUCUGGGAAAUCUUGUCAUUUCAGAAGGUCAGAUGGAUGUGGAGGGCAGAAACUAACCUCAGAUUAUGCCAGGGACGCCAGGGCCUCCUGAACACUGUGGGGGGUUGUGCUCUGAAAUCUACCUCCAGUUUUACAAGAAGCUCUCUUCCAAUCUGUCU
rnacentral:lncRNA from 1 species